GCGGCAGCCGAGAAGACGGCGAAGACAAGCAGGCGUAGCGAGCGCAGGCACGAGCGGGGACUCAUGGUGCGGCCGCGGGCGCCCGGCCCCGGGCGGUGGCUGCGGGCGUGGGGGGCCUCCCGUCGGGGCGGCAGGAUACCAGUUGGUUCCCCUGGGAAGUGGAUUCAGAUGAUCUGAAGGCAGAACAUCCAGGAACUUGGAGACAGCACAGUUCUACAAGGUGGACUCGCUCCUCCUGUGUGCCCCGUGUUGGGGUCUAAUGUGUUGCGGCUUCUGGAGAGGAGGGACAGUCCUGAUUCUCGCCAAGCCUCAGAUGUGUACCACCGUACCUGGCUUGUCUUAUUGUCUUAUCUCCUUAAGAGGACGACAGCUCUCUGAGGCUGGGGGGCCUGUCAGCUCUUUCAUGGAACCCUUAGUGUCUCCAAAGGACCCAGCCCCACGGUGGGUGCUCAAUAAAAAGAUGCCAAAUCAAUCAAGAAUGGGGUGUGUUCUUUCUCACGUUGGUUCUCAGACUUCAGGAACGUUGCAGUGCCCUGGGGCGCUUGUCAGGCAUGCUUAGCCUGUGCCAGACUCUGACUCAGUGGGUCUGGGCUGGGCAGGAAUGUGCAGCUGGGCCAGGGGCCACCUCCUGGGAAACACUGUUGGUCUCGAGAUGUUGGCCUCGCUGGGGCCCAGGGCACGGGGGCAGGACCGAGCCUAAGAUGCGUGCACGGCUUCCACUCCCCAUCUGGGAGUCUCUGCCAAAGGUGCUGGCAGCAGGAGGGUCUUUAGAGGCCUCAGCUGGGGUUGUCGGAAGGUGUGGUUUCUCCACCUUGCCGGUGAAACCAAGCUUUCUCUCCAUUUGUGGCUGGGCCCCCAGGUUCCCAAAAUUCUUCAGGGAAUGGAAGGGACUGGUCUGUACUUGCUCUAGAUCUGGGCACGCCAGACCCUGUCUUGACCCUGGACCCUGCUCUGACCUUCUGUGGGCCUUACCUCAUUCCUCAGGGUAAGGGACCCAGGAGCUGUGCUCACUCAGAGCUCCAAUCACACCCCUUGUCGGACACAGCCUGGAUGCUGGGCUGACCUGCGAUUGCUCCACACCCAUGUGACCCUCCCUGAGUCUCUCUUCUGCUGAGAUGGGGACUGAGAGCUGCCAGGUCAGGGGUAACCAAGGAGCGGGGAUCUGAGUGUCACAGAUGGGGCAGG